UACGAGGGGGGCGAGCGUUGUUCGGAAUUAUUGGGCGUAAAGCGCACGUAGGCGGUUCGUUAAGUCGGAUGUGAAAGCCCUCGGCUCAACUGAGGAAGUGCACCCGAAACUGGCGAGCUUGAGUACGAAAGAGGAUCGCGGAAUUCCCGGUGUAGAGGUGAAAUUCGUAGAUAUCGGGAGGAACACCUGUGGCGAAAGCGGCUCACUGGACCACAACUGACGCUGAUGCACGAAAGCUAGGGGAGCAAACAGG
rnacentral:rRNA from 1 species